UUUUGGCCGUGUUUCCAGUUGAGGAUGGGAACUCAGAGAGUCGUCCGGGUCAGGGUGAGUUUGAUCCGGAUGGUCGAUGGAGCUGAGGUUGAAGAGUAGCAGAGGCAGAGCAGUGAAAAUAAUUGCACAGAAAAAGAACAGGAUCUUUGGUACGGACCUAUUUGAAGGUCUGAUAAAACGCAUUCUCACCCAAUUCAGAUGUUUUAGGGUUUUGGAUACUAAGGUAGUGUUUGAUAAAACUGAGUGUUAAGACCUGAACAGUUUAGACGUCUAAAUAAUAUAGAGCAUCUGAAUAGAAUUAUAUCUGAAUGAAAAAAUAUUGUUUGAUAAAAAAAAAAUUCAAAAUGUCUGAAUAACAAUAUUUUACCAUUUUAUCCCUCUGAACAAAAGAAAAAAAUAUAUAAAAAUAAAACAAAAAAAGAACAACUCUUUUUCUCUCUCUUCAUUAUCACCAUCCUUAUAUUUGGUUCAAUGCAUCAUAUUGUUUUGAAUAUCAAAAGGCAAAAUUACUUGCCCCUUCAUAUGGCAAAAAAAAUUUAAUUUUGUGUACAAAAAGGAAAUUAAUUUUGAAUUAAGAUAAUGAUUAAAAAUUAUUAAAUAUAAUACUCAAUUGUCUAUAAUAUCAUUAAAUCUUUUGUUGGGAUAAGGAGAGUUUUGUUGGGAUAAGGAGAGAGAAAGAGUUUACAGUAUCAAAAAAAUAGGCAAAGUAAUGAGGGGUAAUUUUGGAAAAAUUAUCAUUAAUUCUCCUAAAUUUAAACAAAAGUCAAAUAAUUAAGGACAAAUGAAAAACUCUAAAACGUCAAAUAAUUAGGGACGGAGGGAGUACAAAAGGUUAAAUAACAGGCACAUGUUACACAGAAAUUAAAUAAAGUUACAAUGCAUAUAGUUCUAUUGGAUGAAUACCCAAAUGCCUACAAAAAAAAGGACCAUAAAAUUGCAAAAAAUUAGAGAUCAACCGUUUAAAGUUGUCGUAAAACCUUAUCAGCUGCAGCUAUUGUCCGUUGAAUAUCUUCAGAAGUGUGUGCUAAGCUAGUAAAACCAGCCUCGAACUGUGAAGGCGCGAGGUAAACUCCUUCCUCCAGCAUCCCUCUGUGAAACCUUCCAAACUUGGCCGAGUCACUCUUCUUAGCAUCCUCAAAGUUAUACACAGGCCCUUCUGUAAAGAAAAAGCCAAACAUCCCGCUUAUAUACCCACCGCACAUUGCAUGCCCAGCAUUCUUUCCGGCAUCCAAAAUGCCCUGAAUAAGUUCACUUGUGAUUUUAUUUAAGUAGUCAUAGGUCCCUGGCUCCUUCAACCGCUUAAGAGUGUGGAUUCCUGCUGUCAUCGCCAAUGGGUUACCACUAAGGGUCCCAGCUUGGUACAUUGGUCCUGCAGGAGCCACCAUCUCCAUAAUCUCCCUCCUUCCUCCAUACGCACCAACUGGCAGGCCACCACCUAUGAUCUUCCCGAGUGUUGUUAAGUCGGGAAUUAAUCCAAAAUAUUCUUGAGCUCCACCAUAAGACAACCGGAACCCAGUCAUAACUUCAUCAAAGAUAAGCAGAGCAUCGUUUUCUUUGGUGAUCCUACGGAGAGCAUUUAAGAAAUCAGGUGUAGGUGUAAUGAAGCCAGAGUUUCCUACGACAGGCUCAAGAAUAACUGCAGCAAUUUCUCCUUGGUGCGCCUGAAAUUGAUUCUCCACAGUAGUGAUGUCAUUGUAUGGGGAUGUUAGUGUAUCAAAGGUAGCAGCACCAGGAACACCAGGGGAGUCUGGGAGUCCCAGAGUAGCAACACCGCUGCCAGCCUUAACAAGAAAUGGAUCAGCAUGGCCAUGGUAAUUACCCUCAAACUUGAUGAUUUUCUGUCGGCCAGUGAAAGCACGAGCCAGACGUAGUACUCCCAUACAUGCUUCUGUGCCUGAAUUAACAAACCUAACCAUUUCUAUACUAGGAACAGCUGAGAUGACCAUCUCAGCCAAUUCAUUCUCUAGAAGACAUGGAGCACCAAAACUAGUUCCCUUUUUCAUUGUUUCAGCCAAAACUUUGAGAACCUGUAUGUAGGUAAUAUAUAAGUUCAGGAUAUUGGCAUUAAAAAAAUAGCAGAAAACAAAUUAUUCACAUUCCAGUCGAGUGAAGGUUGAACCCAUCACUAGAGCACUCUAUUUUGAGCAUUGACCAGAAAAAUCUGAUAACUUUAAUUCUCUAAUGCAUCUGAACCCCCUCCCCCUCCCGGCGGACUGAAAACGUUAUUGUGCAUCAUGAUUGGUAUGUUAUUUUGGCUUUUAAGACCAGAUUCAAGAACCUACAUCCCAGAAGAUAUGUCAACAGGUCAAGGAUAGCAUCCGUCCAAAAAGCCCAAUGUAAUGGCAGGGAGUUUAAUAUUUGGAAUGUUUGUAAAAUCAGUAAAAAAUCUCCAGAUCCAGAGGUUAAAAAAUCUUAUUUUAAAAAGCACCACCCUUAUGUAAACGAUCCUUUCAGUGAUGACUAAAAAAAAUAUAGAAAGAAUCAGAAAAAGCGGCAUAACUGAAAUUAUUAGCCAUGCAAAACAUAGAAUGUGUGUCCUGAUAUCAAAUAUUGCUGGUGGCUGCACAAAUCUGUAGACUUCCAAUGCCAAAUUCAAAACUGGAAAAAAUGAGAAAGAAAUGAACCUCAUCGUCUGCAUGACCAAUGAUUGCUGGUCCCCACGAACCAACAUAGUCAAUGUACUCAUUCCCAUCUAUGUCCCACAUGUGAGAGCCCUUGACUGAAUCAAUUACAAUAGGCUGCCCACCAACUGAUUUAAAAGCACGUACAGGAGAAUUUACACCUCCAGGCAUCAGUUCCUGCCAACAACGUUACAUGAGUAGAUAAACUAAACAAAAUUUACAACACCUUUAAUGAGGAAAAAAUCAAUAACAGAUAAUGGAAGGUUGAAUUUGGCAGAUAUAGUUUCACUCUAUAAACCUAAACAGAAGACCAGACAAAUUAGAAUCCACACACACACACAUAUAUAUUACUCCCUCCAUUCUCCCUCCAUUCUAAAAAGAGUCACAUUUACAAUACUUGCAGAUAUUAAGGAUGUAAUUUUGUUGCGUAUUUACCCCUACAAGUAACAAGUUAUUAGUUUAGCAGUGGUGACAUGAUAAUGAAUUUGUGAUUGCAAACUUGAGAGAACACCGUGUCAUUUUAAACUUCUAUCCAUAAAAAGAGGACACUUUUGCAACACAAAUAUUUUGGCAAAUGAGACUCUUUUGUGGAAUAAAAGGAGUAUUAUCCAAUUUGAAGGUUCAAAAUAACUACUUUUUCCAUGUCUAACGAUCAUAAACAUGUUUAAGUGGAGUAUGCCAGUGAAAAAUCAAAACCACACCAGUCAACCAUUUAGGUUUACCACCCACUCUCAUCCACUUAACCGACUUCUUGCCUUCCUUUAGACUUAAAAUAAUGAUUAGGUUCUUUUUUAAUGUGAUAAUAUCAAGUAAAGAGUCAUAAUAACAAAUAAAACCACCAAAUCCCUACCUCUCCUUUCUAGUAUCUGUUUUCAUUAUGUAUAGUAGCGGUCAUUAGUCACUACAUAUGUAAAAAUAGCUCCUGCACAUAUUCAUUCAGGACCAGGAAAAUACAUGCUCUGAUUAAAGAUGGGGUAGUCAAUUAUGUUUGAAUCAAAGUCUUGUUUAUGGACCUAACCAUCAUACCUAUUGAUUAUUUCAGCAGACAGUAAUGUAAAUAGUUCACAAGUGAAGAUAAAUCCAAGCACCUAACUAACAAUGGUGUAAUGUAAUGGAUAACUAAAGAUAAUUUGAUUAGAAUACACUGUAUACAUAUGAUAUGAUAAGUGAGUAGAAGCCUAGAACGUACACAAUGUACCAUGUGUCUAAAUCAACCAGAUCUAGAAAGAUUUUUAUCUCUGCUAGCUUAGAAAAAAAAUAUGCAGAUCGUAUAUGCAUAAUACUCCCUCCAUUGCAAAAUAUAAGAUUAUUAUUGACUUUUUGAAGUAUGCGACACAUUUUGAAACUCAAAAUUGACAUAGAUUCGUUUAAUUUUAGUCCACACAAUGAUGAAUAUUGAAAACUAUGGAAAAAGUACUACUAAUUAUCAGAUUUAUUGUUUCGUAAUCGUUAAUGAAUGAUAUCAUUUUUUUGGUUUAAAAAUAUGUCAAAUUGACUUUCAAAACGUAUCCUACAAUUUGGAACAUAGGGAGUAUUAAAAAAAAUAGUCUUUUAUUUCUUAUCUGGAGAGCAUAUGAUUCUUAAAACGUAAUUUUAUAUGUCAUAAAGUAACACAUUAGCAAGAAUUCUUGUUUUGGUACCUUGAGAGAGGAGUAUGUAGUUAAAAGUAAUUAGCCCUAGCUAUCCUAAGCUCCCAAAUCAAAAAAAAAAAAAAUACAUGUUCCAUGAGAUUUAGGUACUUCUGUAAUACCACAAAGGAGUAAGGACCUACUUCUAGCACUCAUAUCAUAUAAAAAUAUGACGCAGCAUAAUGAAAGUCCCAUAUUCUACAGAUUAACACACUUUUUCACAUAUUUAAAAUUUUGACAUUGAUUAACAGACCGCAACAACAUUCUUUAUAGAUAGUAUUUUCUCAAUAGGGGUUGAUUAAGAGCAAACUUCAAAUCGAUUUAAAUAUCAAAAGCAGGGGAGAAAAGAUGAACAGCAAAACAAAAGCAUUGAACACAAAGCGUCCUUAAUUGACCAUGGAACUAUAAAUACAGGAAAAUAGAAAGAGAGACCUUGGCGGCGUUGAAAGCUUGUUCAGACUUCUCGAGAGUAAAAGUCUUCUUUUUAUCGUCGAGUGAGACAGCCAUUUUAAUCGAAACAUGGCGGCUUGAAGAAAAACGAGAAGACGGUGACGAUAAAUAAGGGCGAUCAGUGAGCUUAGCCGCCGGCCACGAUAGCCCAAACUUUGCUACUCCUGCCAUUUCUCUCUCUCUAAAAAGCAGUAGCUGAACUUGUUGAAGAUGAGAAAGUCAGAUGGACCCCCACCCCCUUCUUUAUCUUUGAUAUUAACUACUACUGUAGAUGUAGAGGUAGAUAUAGUAAGAGCCCAUAGUUUUUUACUCUAAAAAAAAAUACUACUACUAUUUCACCUCUUUCCUCAUUUCUUCGACCGUUGCGCAAGUGGACGACGCGGUUUCAUUGAUAUUUGGCCGUGUUUCCAGUUGAGGAUGGGAACUUAGAGAGUCGUCCGGGUUGGGGUGAGUUUGAUCCGGAUGGUCGAUGGAGCUGAGGUUGAAGAGUAGCAGAGGCAGAGCACUGAAAAUAAUUGCAUAGAGAAAGAACAGGAUCUUUGGUACGGACCUAUUUGAAGGUCCGAUAAAACGCAUUCUCACCCAAUUCAGAUGUUUUAGGGUUUUAGAUACUAACUAAAGAGAGGGAAGGGACGGACGGUCG
rnacentral:lncRNA from 1 species